rnacentral:rRNA from 1 species
GACGAACGCUGGCGGCGUGCUUAACACAUGCAAGUCGAACGGAAAGGCCCUGCUUUUGUGGGGUGCUCGAGUGGCGAACGGGUGAGUAACACGUGAGUAACCUGCCCUUGACUUUGGGAUAACUUCAGGAAACUGGGGCUAAUACCGGAUAGGAGCUCCUGCUGCAUGGUGGGGGUUGGAAAGUUUCGGCGGUUGGGGAUGGACUCGCGGCUUAUCAGCUUGUUGGUGGGGUAGUGGCUUACCAAGGCUUUGACGGGUAGCCGGCCUGAGAGGGUGACCGGGCACAUUGGGACUGAGAGACGGACCAGACUCCUACGGGAGGCAGCAGUGGGGAAUAUUGCACAGUGGGCGGAAGCCUGAUGCAGCAACGCCGCGUGCGGGAUGACGGCCUUCGGGUUGUAAACCGCUUUCGCCUGUGACGAAGCGUGAGUGACGGUAAUGGGUAAAGAAGCACCGGCUAACUACGUG